GUCAGACAUUUAUUUUUUGGAUGUUUGAGAGAUGAUUGUACGCACGUUGAGUUCAUUUGCUCAUUAGUGCGUUAAUUAGUGUUAUGGGUCUAUACAGUUACAAGAAGUGGAUAGUUCCAGCUAGCUCUAUAGCAAAGGAGACCUAGACUGAGAGUUGGUUGGCCAAAAGGUUUCUAGAACUUCUCAAAGCAUCUCCAGAAACAGAUACGAGCUGCAGUUUGGGAAAUUGCAUCCCAUCAGGUCAGCAGCUCCCCAGGACUCCUCCCUUAACAAACAUAACAAGGCAGUUGGAUUUCACCGGUUCCUGUGAGGAACCACAGCACCGUAUGCAGGAUGGUAUCAGAGAUGGAGAUGAAGGUGACCAAAACAGGCUGCCUGUGAUAAGCGGUCUUGAGACAGAUACAGAACUUUCAAAAUCAGAUGACCCCCAUUCCAUGUUGAAAGGAAUGAAGGGCUACCAGCUGACUGCCGCCGACUUGGAA